rnacentral:rRNA from 1 species
CGGGUGAGUAACACGUGGGAACGUCCCCCUCGGUUCGGAAUAACUCAGGGAAACUUGAGCUAAUACCGGAUACGUCCGAGAGGAGAAAGAUUUAUCGCCGAGGGAUCGGCCCGCGUCUGAUUAGCUAGUUGGUAGGGUAACGGCCUACCAAGGCGACGAUCAGUAGCUGGUCUGAGAGGAUGACCAGCCACACUGGGACUGAGACACGGCCCAGACUCCUACGGGAGGCAGCAGUGGGGAAUCUUGGACAAUGGGCGCAAGCCUGAUCCAGCCAUGCCGCGUGAGUGAUGAAGGCCCUAGGGUUGUAAAGCUCUUUCGGCGGGGACGAUAAUGACGGUACCCGCAGAAGAAGCCCCGGCUAACUUCGUGCCAGCAGCCGCGGUAAUACGAAGGGGGCUAGCGUUGUUCGGAAUUACUGGGCGUAAAGCGCACGUAGGCGGGCAUUUAAGUUGGAGGUGAAAGCCUUGGGCUCAACCCAAGAAUUGCCUUUGAUACUGGAUGUCU